rnacentral:rRNA from 1 species
AGGACGAACGCUGGCGGCGUGCUUAACACAUGCAAGUCAAGGGGGCCCAGCAAUGGGCAACCGGCGAACGGGUGCGUAACACGUGAGCAACCUACCGAAAUGUGGGGGAUAGCCGGCCUAACGGCCGAGUAAUACCGCAUACGCUCUCGAUGAGACAUUUCAUUGAGAGGAAACCUACGGGACAUUUCGAGGGGCUCGCGGCCUAUCAGCUAGUUGGCGAGGUAACGGCUCACCGAAGGCAACGACGGGUA